rnacentral:rRNA from 1 species
UACAGAGGGGGCAAGCGUUGUUCGGAAUUACUGGGCGUAAAGGGCGCGUAGGCGGCCUUCUAAGUCGAACGUGAAAUCCCUGGGCUCAACCCAGGAACUGCGUCCGAGACUGGUGGGCUCGAAUCCGGGAGAGGGAUGUGGAAUUCCAGGUGUAGCGGUGAAAUGCGUAGAUAUCAGGAAGAACACCGAUGGCGAAAGCAGCUCUCUGGGACGGUACUGACGCUGAGGCGCGAAAGCGUGGGGAGCGAACAGG